UACGGGGGGGGCAAGCGUUGUUCGGAAUUACUGGGCGUAAAGGGCUCGUAGGUGGCCAACUAAGUCAGACGUGAAAUCCCUCAGCUUAACUGGGGAACUGCGUCUGAUACUGGAUGGCUUGAGUUUGGGAGAGGGAUGCGGAAUUCCAGGUGUAGCGGUGAAAUGCGUAGAUAUCGGGAAGAACACCCGUGGCGAAGGCGGCUCUCUGGGACGCAACUGACGCUGAGACGCGAAAGCGUGGGGAGCAAACAGG
rnacentral:rRNA from 1 species